UACGGAGGUGGCAAGCGUUGCUCGGAAUCACUGGGCGUAAAGGGCGCGUGGGCGGGGAGGUAAGUCGGGUGUGAAAUCCCUCGGCCCAACCGAGGAACUGCGCCCGAGACUGCUUCUCUUGAGUCCCGGAGAGGAAGGUGGAAUUCCCGGUGUAGCGGUGAAAUGUGUAGAGAUCGGGAGGAACACCUGUGGCGAAGGCGGCUCGCUGGGCCGAUCCUGACGCUGAGACGCGAAGGCGUGGGGAGCGAACGGG
rnacentral:rRNA from 1 species